rnacentral:rRNA from 1 species
GUUGAACGCUGGCGGCAUGCCUUACACAUGCAAGUCGAACGGCAGCACGGGAGCAACCCUGGUGGCGAGUGGCGAACGGGUGAGUAAUACAUCGGAACGUGCCCAGUAGUGGGGGAUAACCCGGCGAAAGCCGGACUAAUACCGCAUACGACCUACGGGUGAAAGCAGGGGAUCGCAAGACCUUGCGCUAUCGGAGCGGCCGAUGUCAGAUUAGCUAGUUGGUGGGGUAAAGGCCACCAAGGCGACGAUCUGUAGCUGGUCUGAGAGGACGACCAGCCACACUGGGACUGAGACACGGCCCAGACUCCUACGGGAGGCAGCAGUGGGGAAUUUUGGACAAUGGGCGCAAGCCUGAUCCAGCCAUGCCGCGUGCGGGAAGAAGGCCU